rnacentral:lncRNA from 1 species
GAUGAUGGAGGCUCCCUGGUGCUAUUUUUCUUAUUGAGGAUACCGUCACUCUAGCUGGCAGUUAAUAUUUGACCAUGUCUCCGACUUAAGCUUUAACGUUUUUACUAUAUCUUAAGUUUUCACUGUGUGUGUGUAAAAUUCAUAAGAAUUUUCUCAACGCCUUUAUAAAAAUAUGGCUAAAAUAUGAUGUCCACUCUUGACCCUUAACAGGUGUCCAAAGGAUGCUUGCUUGUU